UCUCAGCACAACAACCAGAUCACUACUGCAGACCACAAUGAAGGUCAGCACAGAAAUGACGACGUUCUUCUUCAUGGUCCUGAAGAAAUUCAGAAUGAUCCAGAAGAUGAAAACACAGGUGAAUCCAGGAUGGUUACAUAUUCUUCAAUCAAGCUUAAAACCUUCACUAAGAAAAAAAAGAGACAGAAACCAGCAGAGAACUCAGUUUACUCUGAUGUGAAGACAGGAGCGUCUGCAGGUAAGAUCUGUCUCUAUGGAAACAUGAUCUCCAUCCAUGCAGCUGUGACUCUAAAAAUGACAGACUGCCAGAUAGAUAGAUAGAUAGAUAGAGUACUUUAUUAAUCCCGAAGGAACUUACAAAAAUUCAUCCAUUGCUCCAAACACACACACAAGCAGGUUCAAAGUAAAUAAAGCUAGAAACAGCUAUAAAACAGGUUAGAUUAAAAGCAUUAAAAUUAUGGAGCUGUUAAAAGCAAUUAAAAGUGUUAAAAUUACUGUAUGAAUAAAUAAAAAUAGUUAGUCGUUCAGACGCCCCCUCUUGCCCCCCCCAGCUACAUUGAAAAGUCUUAUUGCGCUCGGUGCGAAGGACUUCCUGAGCCUUUCAGUGGAGCAUGGUAGAGAGCGCAGGCGGUUGCUGAAGACGCUCCUUUGGGCGGCGAACAGUCCAUGUAGAGGGUGACCAGUGUUUGUCAUUAUGCUCUCCAGCUUGGUCAGCAUCCUCCGCUUAGCCACCACCUCUGCCGUCUCCAUGUUUCGGCCCACCACACAGCCCGCCCUCUUGAUCAGGCGAUUUAGUUUUUUUAAGUCCUUUUUGUUUGCACCGCCCCUCCAACACACCACUGCAUAAAACAAAGCACUGAAAACAACGGACUGACAGAACAUAAAAAGGAGUUCCGAGCAGAUGUUAAAAGAGUCGAGUCUUUUUAAAAAGUAUAGCCUGCUCUGCCCCUUCCUGUAGAUGCAGUCCAUGUUUGCUGACCAGUUCAGGC